rnacentral:rRNA from 1 species
GCACGGGUAGUUUAACGCGUGGGACCUUUGUCCCCAAGUCGGAAUACGGUUGGAAACGACCGCUAAUACCGUAUGUGUCCUGAGGGAAAAGAUUAUCGCUGGAGGCCGCGUCGAUAUAUUGUGAGACGGCUCACCAAGGCCUACGAUCGAUAGCCUUGGUCUGAGAGGAUGAUCAGCACACUGGGACUGAGACACGGCCCAGACUCCUACGGGAGGCAGCAGUGGGGAAUAUUGGACAAUGGGGGCAACCCUGAUCCAGCAAUGCCGCGUGUGUGAAGAAGGCUUAGGUUGUAAAACACUUUCGCCGAUGACGAUAAUGACGGUAGUCGGAUAAGAAGCCCCGGCUAACUCCGUGCCAGCAGCCCGCGGUAAUACCGGAGGGGGGCUGAACGCGUUGGCUCCGGAAAUUACCUGGGGGCGUAAAGGCGCGCGUUAGAGCGGC